rnacentral:rRNA from 1 species
ACAGGGAGCUUGCUCCUGGGUGACGAGCGGCGGACGGGUGAGUAAUGUCUGGGAAACUGCCCGAUGGAGGGGGAUAACUACUGGAAACGGUAGCUAAUACCGCAUAACGUCGCAAGACCAAAGAGGGGGACCUUUGGGCCUCUUGCCAUCGGAUGUGCCCAGAUGGGAUUAGCUAGUAGGUGGGGUAACGGCUCACCUAGGCGACGAUCCCUAGCUGGUCUGAGAGGAUGACCAGCCACACUGGAACUGAGACACGGUCCAGACUCCUACGGGAGGCAGCAGUGGGGAAUAUUGCACAAUGGGCGCAAGCCUGAUGCAGCCAUGCCGCGUGUAUGAAGAAGGCCUUCGGGUUGUAAAGUACUUUCAGCGAGGAGGAAGGCAUUGUGGUUAAUAACCACAGUGAUUGACGUUACUCGCAGAAGAAGCACCGGCUAACUCCGUGCCAGCAGCCGCGGUAAUACGGAGGGUGCAAGCGUUAAUCGGAAUUACUGGGCGUAAAGCGCACGCAGGCGGUCUGUCAAGUCGGAUGUGAAAUCCCCGGGCUCAACCUGGGAACUGCAUUCGAAACUGGCAGGCUAGAGUCUUGUAGAGGGGGGUAGAAUUCCAGGUGUAGCGGUGAAAUGCGUAGAGAUCUGGAGGAAUACCGGUGGCGAAGGCGGCCCCCUGGACAAAGACUGACGCUCAGGUGCGAAAGCGUGGGGAGCAAAUAGGAUUAGAUACCCUGGUAGUCCACGCCGUAAACGAUGUCGACUUGGAGGUUGUGCCCUUGAGGCGUGGCUUCCGGAGCU